rnacentral:rRNA from 1 species
UGGGGAAUAUUGCACAAUGGGCGCAAGCCUGAUGCAGCCAUGCCGCGUGUAUGAAGAAGGCCUUCGGGUUGUAAAGUACUUUCAGCGGGGAGGAAGGUGUUGUGGUUAAUAACCACAGCAAUUGACGUUACCCGCAGAAGAAGCACCGGCUAACUCCGUGCCAGCAGCCGCGGUAAUACGAAGGGCGCAAGCGUUAAUCGGAAUUACUGGGCGUAAAGCGCACGCAGGCGGUCUGUCAAGUCGGAUGUGAAAUCCCCGGGCUCAACCUGGGAACUGCAUCCGAAACUGGCAGGCUUGAGUCUUGUAGAGGGGGGUAGAAUUCCAGGUGUAGCGGUGAAAUGCGUAGAGAUCUGGAGGAAUACCGGUGGCGAAGGCGGCCCCCUGGACAAAGACUGACGCUCAGGUGCGAAAGCGUGGGGAGCAAACA